CUAUUUUUUCAGCAACAAAUGAAUCUCGUGAAGGACAUUCUACCAGAUUCUUCUACGGUAACUCACAGUCACAAAAAUCUGACGAAAAUUUGACAUUUUCUUCAUCGUCGUCAACUCCAAAGACUGAGCAGGCUGAACCUCGAAAAGCAGAGAAGAAAACUUUUCGCUCGAGUGGAAUAUUCAGAUUAAAAUGUAAGUUUUUUAAAAUUAUUUUCUUCAAGUAUUUGAUUUAAAUUGAGGAAUUUUUUAAUUUUAAUUCUUUUGUUUCUUUUUAAUUUUCAGCACCAACUAGAUCUCGCGAAGAAAUGUCUACCAGUUUAAUUGAAAAGACUGAAAAGCAAAUUUUGUCUUCGAGUAAAGGACCGGAAAGAAAAAUUUCAUUUCAUAGUCAAAGAUUAAGUUUGAAAUCACCAAGUGAUUCUCCUGAAAAGCUGUCACCGUGUUCAGUUUACCGUGUACCAACAGAAACAUCAUUAUCAUUAUCGUCAUCAACUGGACCUGAUUUAAAAAUCACUUCUUCAAAAGUAGAGAAAUCGAAAAAGCAAGAAGCUAAAUUUUCCCAUUCAACAUCAACUUCAAAAAGAGAUGGUAAAAUUUUGUAUUCUUUUUUCUUCUUUUAUAUUUUCUUAAUCUCUCUCAAUAUAAAAUUAAUAAAAUUUUCAUUUCUUCCAAUUAUAGGUGUUGACUCAUCAAUUGAAAGUGGUGCUGGCCCCUCUUCAAAACGAAAGAAAUACAGUGUCGAGAAAUCUACAAUUGGUGUUUCUUCAAACAGAAAAAGAAAGUCAAUUACUUUGGAUAAUGAAAAUAUUGAUAAACCGUUGCAUCAUAAAGUGAGAAGAAGAUUGGAAUUAAUGGGAACAGAAAAGCAUACGGUAAAAGUUUGUUUGGGAAAAUUAUGUAAAUCAGCAAACAUAAAAAAUCGAAUUGAAGAAGAUGCAAAGGUUGUUUCAUCAAUGAUGUAUGAGGCAACAACAAUGGCAUUAUUUGGCCUGUAUGAAGAAACGAAUGUUGAAAAUGUUGAAAAUUGUCCAUCAUUGUUGGAGAAAUGGACCAUCAAUGGUCCCGACUUUCUGUCAUUUUUAAUAUCAUUAAAGCAGAAAGUAAAUGCUCAACGUAAAGUAACUGAACAGGAUGCGAAAAUAAAUACAAUGGUCAACGAAUAUAAAGAAUUAAGGAAUGACAUUCCACUUUAUGAUGGAGAAUAUAGAACGGCAAUAAUUCAGGAGGCAGCUUCAGUGUUGAAUCGAAACUUUAAAACAAAUUUCACGACGCAUGCAGCAUCACGAUUAAGAAGAUAUUUGCAGCUAUUAAUGGAAAUUGAAGACGAAGAAAAAAAUCAUAUGGAAGUAGAUGAAAUUCAAGAAAUUUGUUCAGUUUACCGUAUCGAAAAUGAUAAUGAUGAAAAAAUAAAAAUUAGGAGUUUUAAAAAUAGCAUUAAAAAUGAACAAAGAAAAGAAUUUCAAAAAUCUCAAAAACAAUUUCCAGAUGAAAUGCGAGAAAAAAAAACAUCAAACUAUUGCGAUGAAAGAUAUGUUCGACAGGAAAAAUAUCUCAAACAUUGCGAUAAAGUCUAUUAUAAAAAAAGGCCAAGAAGGCGAAGAAAAAAAUCGAAAAAGGAAAAAGAAGAAGAAAAAGAGAAGAAUAAGGAAAAAGAAGAAGAAAAAGAGAAGAAUAAGGAAAAAGAAGAAGAAGAAAAAGAGAAGAAUAAGGAAGAAGAAGAAGAAAAAGAGAAGAAUAAGGAAAAAAAGAAAUUUCGAAAAAGAAGGCCUUCAUUUUAUAAACAAUCUGUUGCUGCUUUAAAUCUCCUGCUGCAAAAAAAUGAAUGUCAAGUGAAAGGAUUCCCUACUGAUUUACUACUGAAAAAGGGUGAUAAUGAUAGAAGAAAAUUGGACUUUACAAAAUUGACAAAAGAUGAAGAAUGGCAUAAAUUUUUGCCAUUUUUCAUUAUGAUUCAACAAGAAUUUCAUGAUAAAAAGAAGAAGAAUUUCACGUUAAUUCCACAAAUUUCAUUAGGCGUGAAGCAUGUGGUUUAUACAAAUACUGCUUUAAAAGAUUUGCAAGUGGCAACUGUUAUUCAAGAAAUUAAAGAAAAAAAGGCAAUUUUACAAAAAAAGAAAAGAAAAUCAGGAACGAAUAAGGAUCAUCUUCAAAGAGCAGUUGAUAAGAUGGACGAUGAAAUGAAGCGCUUAAGAGAAAUGAACAAUGAAGAAAGGUGGAAUUCAAUGUUCAACUUUAAAUCAAUCCAAAGAGGUCGAAAAAAAUUAAAGAAUGGUGGUAAAUUUUCUGGUACAAUAACGACAAAUGGUGUGGACGUGUCAGUAAUUUUUGAUUUACCCACAAAACAUGAUGUUGUGCAAUCAAAGAAGAAAGUUGGAAGUUACAAAAAAUUUUGUGGUUUUGAUCCUGGUGCGAGGGCGACUCUGGCUGGCGUCAGUAGGGAAAACGAUCCUAAUCCAACCACUAAUGUAAAAAAGGAUUCAGCUAUUUACAUUGGUAGUUGGAUGAUGAGAUGGCAGAUGGGCGACUACAGAAGAAGAGAAUUAAUGAAGAAAAAAGGUACAGACAUGCAAAAAUAUUACAAGCAACUUGCUGAGGAUCCAUGGAUGGAAAAUUUUUGCAUGACUAAUCCUCGAGAUCGCCAUCGCAUAACAAAAUAUAGAAUACAUCUUUUACAAAAUUUCCAAUCACUUCAUCAAAAAAGAUCCGUAACGCGUUUAAAAAUAGAUCAAUAUUCGGCGCACAAACGACAAGUUGAUCAACUUGUGAAUUGGAUAGUAGGUGAUACAAAGAAGAAACCCUGUUUCGUUGCUAUUGGUGGAGCAGAAAUACCUAAUUUUAUCAAGGGAUACACUAAAGCUCCUUUGAAACGUAUUCAACAAACUCUUUUCCAAAGAUCAGAAGAAUUAGGAAAAGAUAAAUUGCAAGUCGUGAAAGUAAAUGAGUUUAAUACAACAAAAAUGUGUAGUCGCUGUGUGAGACCACUUAAAAUAUCAAAAAGUCCCCAUCGCUACACUUAUUGUGCGAAAUGCAAGACAACGUGGGAAAGAGAUGUAAAUGCAGGACGCAAUAUUCUUAAUCUUGCACUUGUUCAAGAAAAAAUCAUACCAAAGGAUUCCAUAAAAAAUCACCAUCUAUUUCGGAUCAAAAAUGAUGACAUUGAACAUGAGGCUGCAGAAUUGCAGAAAUAAUUUUUCCCAUCACUUUCAACAUUCAUUUUUAAAUCACUAAGUAAAUCUUUUCAAGGACUUUGAAAAGGAGGAACCUCAACAACCGGAAAUACAAAUUUCUACGAUGGACAAUAUACUGCUUAAUUGCGGAAAUAAUUUAACAAAACAUUAUUCGGUCCUGGUGGUGAUGGCUUUUUGCCAUUGUACAUACCGGGAGAUCUCUUAUGAGAUCCGAACCAGCCUGUAAAAAGGCAUACCAGAAGCAUUUUUGUCGCGCAAGCGCAGUUGCGUUUGGUGAGGGUACCUGGCAGCUCUGUGUAAUAAAAAAAAAAGGUGAUAAAUACUUGGAAAAGUUAAUAAACGCAUGUAAUAUUCUAUUAUUUCUCUAU